ACUUUGAUUUUUUUGGAGUGUACUUACAAACAGUCCUUGAUCACCACUAAAACCAACAGUGUUCUUCACCCUUCGGAGUGGACUUCAGAACAGCCCUACAUUUUCACCCAAGCUUAUGGUGUUAUACGAUCCUUUGGACUAGACUUGGGAAUACUUCAUUAGGUCUACAUCUUCUGCAGCUGUCCUCUGACAGAGAUUUUCACAUUGAUUAUUGAAAAGUAGACUUUUAAAACAUUGAAGACAUCUAUACCAGGCUGGCAUCAUGUCUAAUAAAAAGCGAACAAAUAGUUCAAAGCUACUUUCACCACCAACCAAAGAAAGGAAAAACUGACAUUCCACUUCA